AUUGAACGCUGGCGGCAUGCCUUACACAUGCAAGUCGAACGGCAGCACGGGAGCAAUCCUGGUGGCGAGUGGCGAACGGGUUAGUAAUAUAUCGGAACGUGCCCAGUCGUGGGGGAUAACGUAGCGAAAGCUACGCUAAUACCGCAUACGAUCUAUGGAUGAAAGCGGGGAUCGCAAGACCUCGCGCGAUUGGAGCGGCCGAUAUCAGAUUAGGUAGUUGGUGAGGUAAAGGCUCACCAAGCCGACGAUCUGUAGCUGGUCUGAGAGGACGACCAGCCACACUGGUACUGAGACACGGACCAGACUCCUACGGGAGGCAGCAGUGAGGAAUAUUGGUCAAUGGGCGCAAGCCUGAACCAGCCAUGCCGCGUGCAGGAAGACGGUCCUAUGGAUUGUAAACUGCUUUUAUACAGGAAGAAACCCUCCCACGUGUGGGAGCUUGACGGUACUGUAGGAAUAAGGAUCGGCUAACUCCGUG
rnacentral:rRNA from 1 species